rnacentral:rRNA from 1 species
GUCUACAGCCAUGCUACACUGAACAAGCCUGAUCCCGUCUGAUCUUGGAAGCUAAGCAGGGUUGGGCCUGGGUAGUACUUGGAUGGGAGAUCACCUAGGAAGACCAGGUGCUGUAGGCA